UGGGAACGUGCCCAAAAGGUACGGAACAACUCCGGGAAACUGGAGCUAAUACCGUAUGUGCCCGAAAGGGGAAAGAUUCAUCGCCUUUGGAUCGGCCCGCGUCUGAUUAGCUAGUUGGCGGGGUAAUGGCCCACCAAGGCGAUGAUCAGUAGCUGGUCUGAGAGGAUGACCAGCCACACUGGAACUGAGACACGGCCCAGACUCCUACGGGAGGCAG
rnacentral:rRNA from 1 species